ensembl:lncRNA
GUCAUUGGCACCAGAGACUCAGGACUGAAUUACUGCACUGAUUCUGUCAGGUCCAACAUCAAAUAUGGCUACUUCGUGUUAGGAGAGCAGGAGGUAACCUUCUGGGAUGUUACACCACAGGAGGACAUGAUCCUUAUUAUCCGCUUUUACCACUGGCCUAGUGGGAGAACGGCGCCUGCCCCUUGGGACAAAGGAGCCAAGCCUCAGCCCCAGCCACUAGUGGGCAGCGAACAAUGGCUAGCUGCUUGGGCUGUGCUCAGGUUGACCAAGAGGUCUGAAUCCUCUAAAGUGAUGCUUGCAGGUCAAGGGCAAGAAGGAGAGCGUAGAGUGCUUGGAUGGAACACAGGGACUCACACGCUGGCUCUGUUCCAUGCUCCUGUGCCACCUGUAGUAGCCUUGUCAACAGUGUCAGCAGAACAAGAUCAGAACUUUAAGCUGUAUGGCGAUGCAACUUUGAGACUGCAUGUCUUUAGCACCCAGAAGCCUGAUCUUCCUUUCCCACCGGAAUCACCAUUUGUAUUUAACCCUGCAAAAACAUGGCCAGAUGAAGCUUUUAUUCACCAUGUCAGGGAGACACCUCCUCUUGAGUCAUUUGAUACUGGGGAUGGCUUUGACCUGUACAUCGAUGGAGCUCGCUUUCUGCCUGAUGGCAUCACGGUUACCAGAGUGACUGCUUGCAUCUUUACCAGCAAUUACAAACAGGUUGGCCCAGACAUUUACACCGACAUUGACUUGAAUAGCAACAUCUAUGAUCCAGCUUACAAUUACUCCGUUGAAAUCCGGGAACUGGUGUUAACACCAUGUGCAACUCUUCUCUUAAAGGUUUAUUCAAUUGAUCCCUUGAGCUCCAGACUCAUCCAAAUUGGCUGGGCAGCUCUCAGUCUUUUUGUGGAAUUUGGAACACUCUCAGCCCCUGAGCCUGGAACAGAGGGGAUUCGGGUCUCCUUAAAUGAUGGUGCUCAUCAGCUUCGCAUUUUUCACAACAGUCCCUGCCCAGACCAGCCUUUUUCUACCCUUUCUUUGACCUCAAAAGGACGAUAUGUGCCUUGUGCAACCCUACUGGUGCGGCUUCUCAAGGCUCCUGUAGAUUCCAGUCAUCACACUUUGCAAAGAACCAUGAUUCCUCAAACACAGUGGGUCCAGCUGGGCCUCUUCCAACUCAGGCCUGAUUAUUCUGAUGGCGUUUAUUACUCAGACUCAGCCAGACCUACUCCAGGAGAAAGUUGCCUCUAUGAGGCUAUGAUGAUGAGGUCAGUUGUUUCAGUUCGAGAGAUUAUUCAACAGCUUGUUGGACAUAAGAAGAGCUUGAACACAGAUGAGGAAAUCUUGACCUGGAUCCACAAGAAACUAAAACGGGAACCAGACAGUAGGCCACAGUCCUUCAACCUCACCUACAUCUCCAGAUACAUCCCAACAUAUGGCAUCAAGUUUGCAGUGGAUAGAGCAAUGAAUUUACCCUGGUCAGGCUUGACCACAGCCCAUUUCUGCUUCAAUCCACCUGGAGCAUUUUACUUUGGGAGAGAUUGGCUGAAAUAUGACUAUCCCAUCUUCCUUAAAGAACUUGACACAAACAGCUAUGAGAAAUGGCCUACAUGGCUCGAUGGUUUCAAGUCCUGUCCUCACAGGGUUUACUAUGAGCAUUCAACAGUUAUUAUCCACCUGUCCAGAAGAGCAGAAAGUUCAGCCCAUAUGACUGAAAACAAAAAUGCUCAGCCAAGAAAGAAAACAACCAACCCGAAGGUAGACCACUCAGAUAACACACCAAGUGAGGCGUGGACUGCUCUCCAUGUAUUUUCUACAGGUUACUGUAACACUGGCGUUUACCAAUUGCCCCUAUUCCAAGGAGCUCCUAGCAAGAUCAUGUUGGCUGCUUUAUCUCAAGGAAAAUGCAAUAGUGUGAUAAAGAACAUGCUUCAUAGACAAAUGAUCCAGGUAGUGCCAGGUGCAUCUGUGGUUGUGCGCAUUGCUGAUGGAAGAUGGGAUGGAGAAUUCAGCUAUACAUCAUUGGACAUUGAGCAAUUGUUUCUACCAAAAGAAGCAUUAGGCUUGUACAACAAGGAAGCCUCUGGAGUAAAAAUUGCAGAAUUAAUGCUACAGGAAACAUCAGAAAAACAGGUAAAAUAUGUUGCCUUUUUUGAGGAAUACAACCAUUUGCAGAGUGAACACAUACAAUUGGGGGGGGGGGAGUAUUUAGUCAGAUACCAAUUGUACAAGUUCUCCCACUUAAAAAGAUGUGAGGGGCCUGUAAUUGACAUCAUAGGUAGGCCUCAACUAUGA